rnacentral:rRNA from 1 species
UACGUAGGGUGCAAGCGUUGUCCGGAAUUAUUGGGCGUAAAGAGCUCGUAGGCGGUUUGUCACGUCGGAUGUGAAAUCCCGGGGCUUAACCUCGGGUCUGCAUUCGAUACGGGCUGACUAGAGUUCGGUAGGGGAGACUGGAAUUCCGGGUGUAGCGGUGAAAUGCGUAGAUAUCCGGAGGAACACCGGUGGCGAAGGCGGCUUCCUGGACCGACACUGACGCUGAGGCGCGAAAGCGUGGGGAGCGAACAGG